UCAACUUCUAUGCGAAAGAUAGACGCCUAUUAAUACGAUUCCCCUUCAAUUUUUUAGAUGAUACUUGCGAGCAUGCGUUUGAAACAUUUGUUUGCAUUCGUAUUUUAAUUAUGAACUAUAAACAUAUCUUAACAUUUUUUGAUGAAUCUCUGAAAAUCUUGGUUUAUUUGGCUUUAUUUGAGAUCGAUGAAUGGAUGAAAUGUUUUUGCCCAAUAUUUAACUUGUGUGAUAUCUGAUGAGAUUGGUUUAAUGUAUUCGUAUAUGCCAGACUAAGUUCAUCUCUGAAUAAGUGCUUGUUCACUAAAUUUGUAGUCUUUGUUAUAGAUAUGGAAACAUCUAGCGGCAAUGCAAUCGUUGUGCCAGAUUCUCCAAGUGAUUCAUCCAUUUCACCAGACAAGAAGCGGAAGAAGUUGGUUCUACAUCACCAUUCACGAUUACUUAAGAUAGAUUGCAUAUCCCAGCCUGGAAUGUCGUAUAUAUCACGGUAGAGAGCCUUUUUUGGUGCAUUGGAUCGUGAGUUGCAACUAUAUCAGACAAAUGAUCUCGGCUAUAUUGACAUGGUAAAGUUUUGGUUGUUUUUUAUGCAAAUAAUGAUCUGGUAUUAAUCAUCAGCUGUAUCGAAUCUCUUUCCAGUUUAUUUUCCCUGU